CCAGGCAAGUUUCUCGUCUUCUGAUGCUUACUGUUUGGGGGACUUGCGGGGAGGGGGGUCUUCCAGCCUGUGUCUGUCUGCCUUUGCUUCCUCCCUCUGGCUCUCUCCAUUGGAGACAGAAAGUUAGAUUUAAAAAACGCAACAGAGAAUAUAAAAUCUAUGCUCAGACCCCAGAUAAACAAAACUCUGGGGCCAUAUUCUUAAUUUACCGGGUACCUUCACAUGUCCGAAUGCGGCGUUUAUGGAGCUAGGAAUGUUUUAUUUGUUUCGUGUAUUUCCCUCCUCCCCCCCAUUUUCCUCCGGUGUAAUUCUUAGAGGUGGGGACAGGAGAGCCAGAGGGCUUAGCUGGGAUCCUUUGCCAGAGUGGCUUCUUCAUUCUUUGCGAGGUAGCAGAUGUUUUACUGUAGCCUGAGUUGGGAUCUUGGAACAACCCUCUCCAGCCCAGGACAUGCCAGCGCUUAAGGU
rnacentral:lncRNA from 1 species